UGCAGUCGAACGCGAAAUCCCGCUUCGGUGGGAAAGUAGAGUGGCAGACGGGCUGAGUAAUGCAUAGGUAAUCUACCCUCGAGUGGGGGAUAACUUAUCGAAAGGUAAGCUAAUCCCGCAUAAUGUCUCGACACAUAAGUGUUGAGAAAAAAGGGGGGGAUCUCCUUCGGGGGACCUCUCGCUUGAGGAUGAGCCUAUGUCCUAUUAGCUUGUUGGUGGGGUAAGAGCCUACCAAGGCUAUGAUGGGUAGCCGAGCUGAGAGGCUGAUCGGCCACACUGGAACUGGAACACGGUCCAGACUCCUACGGGAGGCAGCAGUGGGGAAUUUUGCGCAAUGGGCGAAAGCCUGACGCAGCGACGCCGCGUGAGGGAUGAAGGUCCUCGUGAUCGUAAACCUCUGUCAGGAAGGAUUAAAUGUACAGGUGUCAAUACCAUUUGUACUUGACUUAACUUCCAGAGGAAGCCCCGGCUAACUACGUGCCAGCAGCCGCGGUAAUACGUAGGGGGCAAGCGUUACUCGGAUUUACUGGGCGUAAAGCGAGUGUAGGCGGUUAAGUAAGUCAGAGGUGAAAUCCCUCAGCUCAACUGAGGAACUGCCUUUGAUACUGCUUGACUUGAGGACAGGAGAGGAAAGUGGAAUUCCCGGUGUAGCGGUGGAAUGCGUAGAUAUCGGGAGGAACACCAGAGGCGAAGGCGGCUUUCUGGACUGAUCCUGACGCUGAGACUCGAA
rnacentral:rRNA from 1 species